GCUUGAUGAUGAGUAACCAGAUAGGGACAACUGAAUCGAAUUCGAAUGUUAGAGAAAAGUCUCAUGCUCAGUUUUAGUAGAACUUAUAGCACCUCUGAUU
rfam:Cyberlindnera jadinii strain CBS1600 genome assembly, contig: CJ1